UACAGAGGGUGCAAGCGUUAAUCGGAAUUACUGGGCGUAAAGCGUGCGUAGACGGUCAUGUAAGUCGGGUGUGAAAGCCCCGGGCUCAACCUGGGAAUUGCAUUCGAGACUGCAUGGCUAGGGUGCGGAAGAGGGAAGCGGAAUUUCCGGUGUAGCGGUGAAAUGCGUAGAGAUUAGGAAGAACACCAGUGGCGAAGGCGACUUACUGGACUGUAACUGACGCUGAGGCAUGAAAGCGUGGGGAGCAAACAGG
rnacentral:rRNA from 1 species